GUAUUGAUUGGUGCUUGCAUCAUGAUUUACAUUUGAGUGAGUGGCGAACUGGUGAGUAACACGUGGGAAACCUGCCCAGAAGCGGGGGAUAACACCUGGAAACAGAUGCUAAUACCGCAUAACAACUUGGACCGCAUGGUCCGAGUUUGAAAGAUGGCUUCGGCUAUCACUUUUGGAUGGUCCCGCGGCGUAUUAGCUAGAUGGUGGGGUAACGGCUCACCAUGGCAAUGAUACGUAGCCGACCUGAGAGGGUAAUCGGCCACAUUGGGACUGAGACACGGCCCAAACUCCUACGGGAGGCAGCAGUAGGGAAUCUUCCACAAUGGACGAAAGUCUGAUGGAGCAACGCCGCGUGAGUGAAGAAGGGUUUCGGCUCGUAAAACUCUGUUGUUAAAGAAGAACAUAUCUGAGAGUAACUGUUCAGGUAUUGACGGUAUUUAACCAGAAAGCCACGGCUAACUACGUGCCAGCAGCCGCGGUAAUACGUAGGUGGCAAGCGUUGUCCGGAUUUAUUGGGCGUAAAGCGAGCGCAGGCGGUUUUUUAAGUCUGAUGUGAAAGCCUUCGGCUCAACCGAAGAAGUGCAUCGGAAACUGGGAAACUUGAGUGCAGAAGAGGACAGUGGAACUCCAUGUGUAGCGGUGAAAUGCGUAGAUAUAUGGAAGAACACCAGUGGCGAAGGCGGCUGUCUGGUCUGUAACUGACGCUGAGGCUCGAAAGUAUGGGUAGCAAACAGGAUUAGAUACCCUGGUAGUCCAUACCGUAAACGAUGAAUGCUAAGUGUUGGAGGGUUUCCGCCCUUCAGUGCUGCAGCUAACGCAUUAAGCAUUCCGCCUGGGGAGUACGGCCGCAAGGCUGAAACUCAAAGGAAUUGACGGGGGCCCGCACAAGCGGUGGAGCAUGUGGUUUAAUUCGAAGCUACGCGAAGAACCUUACCAGGUCUUGACAUACUAUGCAAAUCUAAGAGAUUAGACGUUCCCUUCGGGGACAUGGAUACAGGUGGUGCAUGGUUGUCGUCAGCUCGUGUCGUGAGAUGUUGGGUUAAGUCCCGCAACGAGCGCAACCCUUAUUAUCAGUUGCCAGCAUUAAGUUGGGCACUCUGGUGAGACUGCCGGUGACAAACCGGAGGAAGGUGGGGAUGACGUCAAAUCAUCAUGCCCCUUAUGACCUGGGCUACACACGUGCUACAAUGGAUGGUACAACGAGUUGCGAACUCGCGAGAGUAAGCUAAUCUCUUAAAGCCAUUCUCAGUUCGGAUUGUAGGCUGCAACUCGCCUACAUGAAGUCGGAAUCGCUAGUAAUCGCGGAUCAGCAUGCCGCGGUGAAUACGUUCCCGGGCCUUGUACACACCGCCCGUCACACCAUGAGAGUUUGUAACACCCAAAGUCGGUGGG
rnacentral:rRNA from 2 species